AGAGAAGGACCGGACCGGCCGCCAUGUUGGAGCCCUGGAGCUGCGGCGAGCCGAGGCUUCGGGGGGCUCGAGGAGCCGAGAGGUGGCAUGGUGAGAAUGGUGAGGCUAGGGUGUACCACUUGAUAGCCUCGCGCACCGGCUAGGACGGAGGCUACCCAGGGGACCUUCAGGGCUGUCGAGCCAGAAAUGCCAUCGCGAGUCGGAGUGAACCCGCAGGGGUUGCACAAGGCCUCGCCACCCUGGGACACAGGGAGUCGCUUUACUUCUGAGCGUGGAGAACCCCUUAGACUUUCUGGGGAGACUCUCUGGUGUGGGGACUCGGGACGACGGGCCUUGCGCCUGUAGGACGAAAAGCUGGCGUACACCCUGUGUCGGACCCCUGCUCCCACCAUUGAAUUUUCGUUCGGUCGUGAAUUGCAAAGGGCCUCAAAGAAAUCCUUUGCUAGAUAAUGUGAUUGCGAAGGGUUGUGUAGCUUGGCCCUGAAAAUGACAAAGGAAGCGUCUACCAGAAGAAGUUAGCACCUAAUCUUUCUUACCCCACCAGCGAAAGUAAACGACAUUGAAAAGGGACUGCAAUGAGCAGUCUUAAUCGACUAACACUGAAUGAACUAUGCUAAAAUACUGUGUAUAUUCGAAGU
rnacentral:lncRNA from 1 species